AAACCAACAGGGAUUGCCUUAGUAACGGCGAGUGAAGCGGCAACAGCUCAAAUUUGAAAUCUGGCUCUUUCAGAGUCCGAGUUGUAAUUUGCAGAGGGCGCUUUGGCGUUGGCAGCGGUCCAAGUUCCUUGGAACAGGACGUCACAGAGGGUGAGAAUCCCGUACGUGGUCGCUAGUCAUCGCCGUGUAAAGCCCCUUCGACGAGUCGAGUUGUUUGGGAAUGCAGCUCUAAAUGGGAGGUAAAUUUCUUCUAAAGCUAAAUACUGGCCAGAGACCGAUAGCGCACAAGUAGAGUGAUCGAAAGAUGAAAAGCACUUUGGAAAGAGAGUCAAACAGCACGUGAAAUUGUUGAAAGGGAAGCGCUUGCAGCCAGACUUGCCUGUAGUUGCUCAUCCGGGCUUUUGCCCGGUGCACUCUUCUGCGGGCAGGCCAGCAUCAGUUUGGGCGGUUGGAUAAAGGUCUCUGUCAUGUACCUCUCUUCGGGGAGAACUUAUAGGGGAGACGACAUACAACCAGCCUGGACUGAGGUCCGCGCAUUUGCUAGGAUGCUGGCGUAAUGGCUGUAAGCGGC
rnacentral:rRNA from 1 species